rnacentral:rRNA from 3 species
AGAGUUUGAUCCUGGCUCAGGAUGAACGCUAGCUACAGGCUUAACACAUGCAAGUCGAGGGGCAGCAUGGUCUUAGCUUGCUAAGACUGAUGGCGACCGGCGCACGGGUGAGUAACACGUAUCCAACCUGCCUUAUACUCCCGGACAGCCUUCUGAAAGGAAGAUUAAUACGGGAUGGUAUCACGAGCCAGCAUUUUCUCGUGAUUAAAGAACUUCGGUAUAAGAUGGGGAUGCGUUCCAUUAGAUAGUAGGCGGGGUAACGGCCCACCUAGUCUACGAUGGAUAGGGGUUCUGAGAGGAAGGUCCCCCACAUUGGAACUGAGACACGGUCCAAACUCCUACGGGAGGCAGCAGUGAGGAAUAUUGGUCAAUGGGCGCGAGCCUGAACCAGCCAAGUAGCGUGAAGGAUGACUGCCCUACGGGUUGUAAACUUCUUUUAUAAAGGAAUAAAGUGAGGCACGUGUGCCUUUUUGUAUGUACUUUAUGAAUAAGGAUCGGCUAACUCCGUGCCAGCAGCCGCGGUAAUACGGAGGAUCCGAGCGUUAUCCGGAUUUAUUGGGUUUAAAGGGAGCGUAGAUGGGUUGUUAAGUCAGUUGUGAAAGUUUGCGGCUCAACCGUAAAAUUGCAAUUGAUACUGGCAGCCUUGAGUACAGUUGAGGUAGGCGGAAUUCGUGGUGUAGCGGUGAAAUGCUUAGAUAUCACGAAGAACUCCGAUUGCGAAGGCAGCCUACUAAACUGCCACUGACAUUGAUGCUCGAAAGUGUGGGUAUCAAACAGGAUUAGAUACCCUGGUAGUCCACACGGUAAACGAUGAAUACUCGCUGUUUGCGAUAUACUGCAAGCGGCCAAGCGAAAGCGUUAAGUAUUCCACCUGGGGAGUACGCCGGCAACGGUGAAACUCAAAGGAAUUGACGGGGGCCCGCACAAGCGGAGGAACAUGUGGUUUAAUUCGAUGAUACGCGAGGAACCUUACCCGGGCUUGAAUUGCACUCGAAUAUAGCGGAAACGUUAUAGCUAGCAAUAGCGAGUGUGAAGGUGCUGCAUGGUUGUCGUCAGCUCGUGCCGUGAGGUGUCGGCUUAAGUGCCAUAACGAGCGCAACCCUUGUCUAUAGUUACUAACAGGUCAUGCUGAGGACUCUAUGGAGACUGCCAUCGUAAGAUGUGAGGAAGGUGGGGAUGACGUCAAAUCAGCACGGCCCUUACGUCCGGGGCCACACACGUGUUACAAUGGGGGGUACAGAGGGCCGCUACCACGCAAGUGGAUGCCAAUCCCGAAAGCCUCUCUCAGUUCGGACUGGAGUCUGCAACCCGACUCCACGAAGCUGGAUUCGCUAGUAAUCGCGCAUCAGCCAUGGCGCGGUGAAUACGUUCCCGGGCCUUGUACACACCGCCCGUCAAGCCAUGGGAGCCGGGGGUACCUGAAGUGCGUAACCGCAAGGAGCGCCCUAGGGUAAAACUGGUGACUGGGGCUAAGUCGUAACAAGGUAACC